rnacentral:rRNA from 1 species
CCCUUAGAUGUUCUGGGCUGCACGCGCGCUACACUGUUUGAUUCAGCGAGUCUUAACCUUGACCGAAAGGUUUGGGUAAUCUUCUAAAGUCAAACGUGAUGGGGAUCGAUCAUUGCAAUUAUUGAUCGUGAACGAGGAAUUCCUAGUAAAUGCAAGUCAUCAGCUUGCGUUGAUUACGUCCCUGCCCUUUGUACACACCGCCCGUCGCUACUACCGAUUGAAUGGUUUAGUGAGAUCUCCGGAUUGGCUCUGUAGGUCCCGCAAGGGAUUUAUUAGUAGCCAAGAAGCUGCUCAAACUUGAUCAUUUAGAGGAAGUAAAAGUCGUAACA